CCUACGGGUGGCAGCAGUGGGGAAUAUUGGGCAAUGGAGGAAACUCUGACCCAGCAACGCCGCGUGAAUGAUGAAGGUCUUCGGAUUGGAAAGUUCUUUUCUAAGGGAAGAAGAAAGUGACGGGAGCGUAGGAAUAAGCCUCGGCUAACUCCGUGCCAGCAGCCGCGGUAAUACGUAGGAGGCGAGCGUUAUCCGGAAUGACGGGGCGUAAAGGGUGCGUAGGUGGGUUGGGAAGUUAGUAGCGUAACUCCAAGGCUCAACCUUGGAACUCCUACUAAAACGGUUGGACUUGAGUGCAGGCGGGGCAACCGGAAUUCCUCGUGUAGCGGUGGAAUGCGUCGAUCUUAGG
rnacentral:rRNA from 1 species